GUAACUAACCUACCUAUAACUGGGGGAUAGCCCGCCGAAAGGCGGAUUAAUACCGCAUAAGCCAUGGACCCGGCAUCGGGAUUUUGGUAAAGAUUUAUUGGUUAUAGAUGGGGUUGCGGGUCAUUAGCUAGUUGGUAAGGUAACGGCUUACCAAGGCGACGAUGACUAGGGGAGCUGAGAGGCUGGUCCCCCACACGGGCACUGAGAUACGGGCCCGACUCCUACGGGAGGCAGCAGUAGGGAAUAUUGGGCAACGGGCGAGAGCCUGACCCAGCCAUGCCGCGUGCAGG
rnacentral:rRNA from 1 species